CCAAACCAUUUUCCUUCCUUCUCCACUUUCCAAUCCACAUGAUAGAUUCUGAGACUCCAUUCUAAAAUUCCAUUUGAAAUCGAAGAGUUGGCAACACCAACGCCUCGAGGAUGAGGAGUCGUCGGAGCCCGAAGCCGCCAACGAUGUGUUCAGUGUUCUUCUGCCGACUGUUGUACCGCUUGUCUGCCGUUUCUACCUUCUAGACUCUAGUCUCAACUCUCAAGCUCGCGACUACCCACUGGAAUUGGUGUGUGGUGACUCUCUCUCUCUCUCUCUCUUUUGAUUUUGUUUCAGUUCUAUUUUGUUGGCUACUUAGAUUUGUUAACGUUGAGUAAUGAAUGUUAAUUAUGUUAUGAUUAUUGAUUUGGGAAUUUAUGUUUACGAAAUUAUGUUUGCGAAUUGUGAAUUGUGAUAAGUAAUUUAUAUUUUGAUGAGGAAUGAUUAUUGAUUUGAGAAUUUAUGUUUAUGAAAUUAUGUCUGCGAAUUGUGAUUUAUGACAAGUAAUUUAUGUUUUAUAGUUAUGAUUAUUGAUUCGGGAAUUUAUGUUUACGAAAUUAUGUUUGUGAAUUGUGAUUUAUGAUAAGUAAUUUAUGUUUUAACGAGGAAUGAUUAUUGAUUUGGGAAUUUACUUAUAUAUUGAAUAACUUUUAACAUUAUUUAAUCAAAUUUUAAUAAAUGACUGAACUAUUACGAUCGUUGAUUGUCGACGGUCAAUGGUCAACCUCCGCCCUAGCUGGACUUCGAUGCUGAAUUCACCCCUGGUGGUGAUGGACGACGAAGGUCCAACAGAACUCCUAGGAAGAAUCCUAGGCUCCAGG
rnacentral:lncRNA from 1 species